AAGAAUUUAAAAGUCGAACAGACUUAAAACUUAAAAACCUGCACCUAAGCUUUAUCUUAAUUCAACAUCGAGGUCGCAACCCCUAAUAUAAAUAUGAACUCCCCAUUAGGAUUACG
rnacentral:rRNA from 1 species